GAUGAACGCUGGCGGCGUGCCUAAUACAUGCAAGUCGAGCGAACAGACGAGGAGCUUGCUCCUCUGACGUUAGCGGCGGACGGGUGAGUAACACGUGGAUAACCUACCUAUAAGACUGGGAUAACUUCGGGAAACCGGAGCUAAUACCGGAUAAUAUAUUGAACCGCAUGGUUCAAUAGUGAAAGACGGUUUUGCUGUCACUUAUAGAUGGAUCCGCGCCGCAUUAGCUAGUUGGUAAGGUAACGGCUUACCAAGGCAACGAUGCGUAGCCGACCUGAGAGGGUGGGCGCCCACCGGGGAAGGGAGCCCGGCACAAAGCCCCGGGGGGGGGCACCAGUGGGAAACCUUCGGCAGUGGGGGAGAGCUUGGCGGACAAGGCCGGGGUGAGAAAUAAGGGUCUCGGUUCCUAAAAACUGUUUUAUGGGGAAAAAAAAAAUUUUAAAGAAACAAGGCAGUUCUUGAGGGAAACAAAUAAAAAAGCCAGGGCAAACCAGGUC
rnacentral:rRNA from 1 species